rnacentral:rRNA from 1 species
UACAGAGGUGGCAAGCGUUGUUCGGAAUUACUGGGCGUAAAGGGCGCGUAGGCGGCCUUCUAAGUCAGACGUGAAAUCCCCCGGCUUAACCUGGGAACUGCGUCUGAUACUGGAAGGCUUGAGUUUGGGAGAGGGAUGCAGAAUUCCAGGUGUAGCGGUGAAAUGCGUAGAUAUCUGGAGGAGUACCGGUGGCGAAGGCGGCAUCCUGGACCAACACUGACGCUGAGGCGCGAAAGCUAGGGGAGCAAACGGG